GUUGCAGCCUUUGAAAAUUGGAAUGCACUUGAACAUGGUUGUUGUUGCUGUUGUUGUUGCUGAUGAUGACGUCUUUCGUGAUAGUUGUUGUUAUUGUUGUUGUUGUU